UGCAUUCACUACUGUAAGUCGCUCUGGAUAAGAGCGUCUGCUAAAUGAGAAAUG
rfam:Salmo salar isolate Sally breed double haploid chromosome ssa10, whole genome shotgun sequence.